AUUGAACGCUAGCGGGAUGCUUUACACAUGCAAGUCGAACCAGUGGCGGACGGGUGAGUAAUAUAUCGGAACGUGCCCAGUAGCUGGGGAUAACUACUCGAAAGAGUAGAUAAUACCGCAUCCUAUUUGAGCUGCCGCUACAGGAUUAGCUCGUAGUUGGGGUAAAGGCUCACCAAGGCGACGAUCCGUAGCUGGUUUGAGAGGCCGACCUGCCACAGUGGGACUUAGACACGGCCCAGAGUCCUACGGGAGGCAUCAGUGGGGAAUUUUGGACAAUGGGUGACACCCUGAGCCAGCCAUCCCGCGUGUAUGAGAAGGCCUUCGGGUUGUAAAGUACUUUUGGCAGGGAAGCGGUAUCUGCAGAAUAAGCACCGGCUAACGACGUGCCAGCAGCCGCGGUAAUAC
rnacentral:rRNA from 1 species